GACUUGGAUCAGCAGUCACAGAGCAGAGCUGGAAAUUGCCCAGCUUACCCUCAGCAGAUUUCUGAUGAUCUUCCCCAAGAGCUCAGGGGCAGGUGGAGAAUCUCCAGAAACAUGGCAGCUCCUCGUACCCAGCUACCCUGGCUGAACACGAGCUCCAGACAGUGCCACUGGAGACAUCAGCUUUUUGGGGACAUGACAGUGGAAGGAACACACCACAGGGGCAUGGAUCCCUGGUGCUGCUGCACAGUGCCCCUUGGACCACGGCUGCUGAACUGAUCACAGCCUCGCAGGAGCCCUCCAGCUUUUGGGAAUAGACUGGGAAGGUGAAAAGCACCACGGAGGUACUGACAGGAGCGCUGCAACAACCUGAGGAAAGGCUGAUCUCCGUUAUCACUGGACACAGCAGACUUCAGGACUCAACCUGUUUGUUCCCCACCGUACACAGGCACCAGCCAUUUUCAGCCCCACAACCGCGGAGCAUUCUGAAGGCCAGAGAACUGCCCCAGCACGGCAGCGCCCCAACAACUCCCGCACGGGUCACGGCAGUGCCAACACCUCCC